GUUUGUGUGCUCUCUAGUUCCCUAAGCCGAACCCACCUCUCCUCUUCUCCAUUUUCAUGUUUUGGGAAGGAUUCACCAAAGGACCUACUGUGCAGUUGGAAGUGUCGAGGUACAUUGAGGUAUUGAUGGUGAGGCUGGGGAGUCGGGCACUACCGAGGAUGGAGGGGUCGAUGCUUAGUGUUCCCCUAUUGGUUCGACCCCUUUUGAUGAUGAUGAUUUAUGUUUUAGGAUGGGUCUUGUGUUGGGCCGUUUUGUUGAAUUAACUUUUAGACAAUGUAGCUUUUGGGUAUGAUGUAAUUUCUAUGGUGGGGAGAGGGUAACGGUGUAACUUCUAUGGUGGGGUUAUG